rnacentral:rRNA from 1 species
GAAUGCUGACAUAAGUAACGAUAAAGCGGGUGAAAAGCCCGCUCGCCGGAAGACCAAGGGUUCCUGUCCAACGUUAAUCGGGGCAGGGUGAGUCGACCCCUAAGGCGAGGCCGAAAGGCGUAGUCGAUGGGAAACAGGUUAAUAUUCCUGUACUUGGUGUUACUGCGAAGGGGGGACGGAGAAGGCUAUGUUGGCCGGGCGACGGUUGUCCCGGUUUAAGCGUGUAGGCUGAUUUUCCAGGCAAAUCCGGAAAAUCAAGGCUGAGGCGUGAUGACGAGGCACUACGGUGCUGAAGCAACAAAUGCCCUGCUUCCAGGAAAAGCCUCUAAGCAUCAGGUAACAUCAAAUCGUACCCCAAACCGACACAGGUGGUCAGGUAGAGAAUACCAAGGCGCUUGAGAGAACUCGGGUGAAGGAACUAGGCAAAAUGGUGCCGUAACUUCGGGAGAAGGCACGCUGAUAUGUAGGUGAAGCGACUUGCUCGUGGAGCUGAAAUCAGUCGAAGAUACCAGCUGGCUGCAACUGUUUAUUAAAAACACAGCACUGUGCAAACACGAAAGUGGACGUAUACGGUGUGACGCCUGCCCGGUGCCGGAAGGUUAAUUGAUGGGGUUAGCGGUAACGCGAAGCUCUUGAUCGAAGCCCCGGUAAACGGCGGCCGUAACUAUAACGGUCCUAAGGUAGCGAAAUUCCUUGUCGGGUAAGUUCCGACCUGCACGAAUGGCGUAAUGAUGGCCAGGCUGUCUCCACCCGAGACUCAGUGAAAUUGAACUCGCUGUGAAGAUGCAGUGUACCCGCGGCAAGACGGAAAGACCCCGUGAACCUUUACUAUAGCUUGACACUGAACAUUGAGCCUUGAUGUGUAGGAUAGGUGGGAGGCUUUGAAGUGUGGACGCCAGUCUGCAUGGAGCCGACCUUGAAAUACCACCCUUUAAUGUUUGAUGUUCUAACGUUGGCCCGUUAUCCGGGUUGCGGACAGUGUCUGGUGGGUAGUUUGACUGGGGCGGUCUCCUCCUAAAGAGUAACGGAGGAGCACGAAGGUUGGCUAAUCCUGGUCGGACAUCAGGAGGUUAGUGCAAUGGCAUAAGCCAGCUUGACUGCGAGCGUGACGGCGCGAGCAGGUGCGAAAGCAGGUCAUAGUGAUCCGGUGGUUCUGAAUGGAAGGGCCAUCGCUCAACGGAUAAAAGGUACUCCGGGGAUAACAGGCUGAUACCGCCCAAGAGUUCAUAUCGACGGCGGUGUUUGGCACCUCGAUGUCGGCUCAUCACAUCCUGGGGCUGAAGUAGGUCCCAAGGGUAUGGCUGUUCGCCAUUUAAAGUGGUACGCGAGCUGGGUUUAGAACGUCGUGAGACAGUUCGGUCCCUAUCUGCCGUGGGCGCUGGAGAACUGAGGGGGGCUGCUCCUAGUACGAGAGGACCGGAGUGGACGCAUCACUGGUGUUCGGGUUGUCAUGCCAAUGGCACUGCCCGGUAGCUAAAUGCGGAAGAGAUAAGUGCUGAAAGCAUCUAAGCACGAAACUUGCCCCGAGAUGAGUUCUCCCUGACUCCUUGAGAGUCCUGAAGGAACGUUGAAGACGACGACG